CUCCCCUUGGCUGUACACUGCAGCUUCAUUAAAAAGGCCAACAAGCUCCUGCCCCAAUUUUUCAAGAAAGCUGUGACAACCAAAAAAAGGCCCCAAAUUCAGAGAUUUCUUGCCCUGCUGGCGGGGCUGAUAAUUAGUGAGACUGGCCACAGGAUCACAGUGUUGAAAAACAUGAGGGGGACUGAUGUCCUAGAGGCUCGGGAAGCGGGGCAGUGCCACGUGAUAUACGUGAAGGAGCACAAGACACGCCGCACAUUUGGCGAUGCCAGGGUGCCUGUGCACGCCAAUGUCUACCGCAUGAUGAAGACCUGGAUGAAAAGGAGGGAGGACCUGCAGGGCUGGGGAGGCCCCUUCUUUUUUUCCAGUAGUGCUGGGGGGAGGGCGCCACUCCUCUUGGAGGAUUUUAAGAGAACCUGGCUGGACCUGGGCUUCCCCGCACCCCCACCAACGUUUAACGCUCUAAGGAGCUCAUUGGCCAC